GGGAACUGAAGCAAAGGAGAGGAAAGGCAGAGCCAAGACUUCACACUGAGCAUGAAAAUAGAGCAUCCUAAUAUCUGCAAUUUGAUGCAUUCACGGGAAGUCUUUGAACUUAUUAUCUGUGGAUGCAGAGGUCAUACUGCACAUAAGCCCACAAAGACAACCGAAGCAAUUUCCAG
rnacentral:lncRNA from 11 species